AUGGACUGCAGGUGUCCGUAUAUUGUGUUUGCGGUACUUAUUUAUCCAGCUAGCACUACAGAAGAGGUGGAGGGAGUGACGUUUUUUAAGUGGAAGAGAAAAGAGUGCGACAUGACUAAACUGAGAGAUGGAGAAAGCUGUAGGAACACAGACAGGACAGGAAAGGAAGAAGAGAGGUUUGAUUAAAGUGUCCUGUUUACUCUCUGCAGCCCUGUGGCCAUACCACCUCGGAGACUCUCCAGACCACCAAGGCCCUGGUGGCCUCCUUGGAUUGGUUGGUGACGGCCCUCACCAUGGGAACUGCAGGGAGAGGUGCUGGAGUGGGUGGAGGAGUGGCACGGACAGUGGCUUAGUGGUGGGGAUUUUUCAUGCUGCGAACCAAGCCAGAGGGUGAAGAUAUGAUUACAUGUGGCCGGUCCUUGACAUUCAAAAUAUAUAGGUAGGAUGUUGCAUUGUGUGGCCAGGUGACCUUUUAUAAUGCUCCU